UCUGGUUGAUCCUGCCUGAACUGAUGUGUUCAUUUCAAAGAUUAAGCCAUGCAUGUAUAAGUUUAAUCGUUUUAACGAGAAACCGCGAACGGCUCAUUACAAUGGCCAUGAUUUACUUGAUCUUGAUUAUCUAAAUGGAUAACUGUGGAAAAGCUAGAGCUAAUACAUGCACCAAAGCUUUGUCCUCUCGGAAAAGCGCAUUUAUUAGAACAAAACCACGCGGCUUCGGCUGCUUCUUGUUGACUCAGAAUAACUAUGCUGACCGCAUGGCCUUGUGCCGGCGGCGUGUCUUUCAAGCGUCCACUUUAUCAACUUGACGGGAGCAUAAUCGACUCCCGUGGUGGUGACGGAUAACGGAGGAUCAGGGUUCGACUCCGGAGAAGGGGCCUGAGAAAUGGCCACUACGUCUAAGGAUGGCAGCAGGCGCGCAAAUUACCCACUCUCGGCUCGAGGAGGUAGUGACGAGAAAUAACGAGAUCGUUCUCUUUGAGGCCGGUCAUCGGAAUGGGUACAAUUUAAACCUUUUAACGAGUAUCAAGCAGAGGGCAAGUCUGGUGCCAGCAGCCGCGGUAAUUCCAGCUCUGCUAAUACAUAGAAUUAUUGCUGCGGUUAAAAAGCUCGUAGUUGGAUUCGUAUCGGUACCCUGGAACCCUCCGGGUGUUUCUGGGUGUUAUCGAUUUAUCGUAAUGUUCGGUUUUGAGUCCUUAACAGGAUUCUUAACAGGCAUUGCAAGUUUACUUUGAACAAAUCAGAGUGCUUCAAACAGGCGUUUUCGCUUGAAUGAUCGUGCAUGGAAUAAUAGAAAACGAUUUCGGUUCUGUUUUAUUGGUUUUACGGACUGAGAUAAUGGUUAACAGAGACAAACGGGGCAUUUGUAUGGCCCCGUGAGAGGUGAAAUUCUUGGACCGUGGCCAGACAAACUACAGCGAAAGCAUUUGCCAAGAAUGUCUUCAUUAAUCAAGAACGAAAGUCAGAGGUUCGAAGGCGAUCAGAUACCGCCCUAGUUCUGACCGUAAACGAUGCCAACUAGCGAUCCGCCGAUGGAAAUUAUAUUGCCUUGGUGGGGAGCUUCCCGGAAACGAAAGUCUUCCGGUUCCGGGGAAGUAUGGUUGCAAAGCUGAAACUUAAAGGAAUUGACGGAAGGGCACCACCAGGAGUGGAGCCUGCGGCUUAAUUUGACUCAACACGGGGAAACUCACCCGGCCCGGACACUGUGAGGAUUGACAGAUUGAUAGCUUUUUCAUGAUUCAGUGGAUGGUGGUGCAUGGCCGUUCUUAGUUCGUGGAGUGAUUUGUCUGGUUUAUUCCGAUAACGAGCGAGACUCUAACCUACUAAAUAGCUGGUACAUAAUUUAAGUGUAUACAGCUUCUUAGAGGGAUUUGCGGUGUUCAGCCGAAAGAAAUUGAGCAAUAACAGGUCUGUGAUGCCCUUAGAUGUCCGGGGCUGCACGCGCGCUACACUGGCAAAAUCAACGUGCUUGUCCUACCCCGAAAGGGGCGGGUAAACCAUUGAAAAUUUGCCGUGAUUGGGAUCGGAAAUUGCAAUUAUUUUCCGUGAACGAGGAAUUCCAAGUAAGUGCGAGUCAUCAGCUCGCGUUGAUUACGUCCCUGCCCUUUGUACACACCGCCCGUCGCUGCCCGGGACUGAGCCAUUUCGAGAAAUUUGGGACCGUUGAUUUAAUUUUUCUAAAUUUCUUUGAUGGAAACCAAUUUAAUCGCAGUGGCUUGAACCGGGCAAAAGUCGUAACAAGGUAGCUGUAGGUGAACCUGCUGCUG
rnacentral:rRNA from 1 species